UACAAAUCUGGCCAUUA
rnacentral:misc_RNA from 1 species